GAUGAACGCUGGCGGCGUGCCUAAUACAUGCAAGUCGAGCGAACAGACGAGAGUGCUUGCACUCUCUGACGUUAGCGGCGGACGGGUGAGUAACACGUGGGUAACCUACCUAUAAGACUGGGAUAACUUCGGGAAACCGGAGCUAAUACCGGAUAAUAUUUAGCUUCGCAUGAAGCAAUAGUGAAAGACGGUUCUGCUGUCACUUAUAGAUGGACCCGCGGUGUAUUAGCUAGUUGGUGAGGUAACGGCUCACCAAGGCAACGAUACAUAGCCGACCUGAGAGGGUGAUCGGCCACACUGGGACUGAGACACGGCCCAGACUCCUACGGGAGGCAGCAGUAGGGAAUCUUCCGCAAUGGACGAAAGUCUGACGGAGCAAUGCCGCGUGAGUGAAGAAGGUUUUCGGAUCGUAAAACUCUGAUGUAAGGGAAGAACAAGUACGUUAGUAACUGAACGUACCUUGACGGUACCUUACCAGAAAGCCACGGCUAACUACGUG
rnacentral:rRNA from 1 species